rnacentral:rRNA from 1 species
AUGUGUGGGGUCUGUGCUGAACUUCUUGAUGUAUUCAUAGAUGUGUUCGCUGAUCUCCUGUGCUCUCUCCUGCUGGAUGAAGUGUCCGGCAUCUUUGAUCACCACCACCUCGUCGAGCAUGGGCACGUCUCUCUUGAGCCCACCCUUGUGUAUGUAGCCUUUGACUCCUGGGUGAUGGUAUGCCAGGUCACCGUCCCCGACGAUGAACUUGGUCGGCACUUGCACUUUCGCUCCGGUCCAUGGCGCCAUCAGCUCCCAGUUCCUGUGCAUAUGCAUCUUCAGAGGUCACAAUUUCCUGGUGCAUGUGAUCAUCUGAUUUCUUGCUAA